rnacentral:rRNA from 1 species
AGGAAUUAGCUUGCUAAUUCGCUGACGAGCGGCGGACGGGUGAGUAAUGCCUGGGAAUAUGCCUUAGUGUGGGGGAUAACUAUUGGAAACGAUAGCUAAUACCGCAUAAUGUCUUCGGACCAAAGAGGGGGAUCUUCGGACCUCUCGCGCUAAGAUUAGCCCAGGUGAGAUUAGCUUGUUGGUGAGGUAAGAGCUCACCAAGGCGACGAUCUCUAGCUGGUCUGAGAGGAUGAUCAGCCACACUGGAACUGAGACACGGUCCAGACUCCUACGGGAGGCAGCAGUGGGGAAUAUUGCACAAUGGGCGAAAGCCUGAUGCAGCCAUGCCGCGUGUAUGAAGAAGGCCUUCGGGUUGUAAAGUACUUUCAGUCGUGAGGAAGGGUGUGUAGUUAAUAGCUGCACAUCUUGACGUUAGCGACAGAAGAAGCACCGGCUAACUCCGUGCCAGCAGCCGCGGUAAUACGGAGGGUGCGAGCGUUAAUCGGAAUUACUGGGCGUAAAGCGCAUGCAGGUGGUUCAUUAAGUCAGAUGUGAAAGCCCGGGGCUCAACCUCGGAACCGCAUUUGAAACUGGUGAACUAGAGUGCUGUAGAGGGGGGUAGAAUUUC